UACGUAGGGGGCAAGCGUUGUCCGGAAUUACUGGGUGUAAAGCGCGUGUAGGCGGGAGGCCAAGUCUGUGGUGAAAUCGCUCGGCUUAACUGGGCGGGGGCCAUGGAAACUGGUCACCUGGAGGUCGGUAGAGGCAAGUGGAAUUCCCGGUGUAGUGGUGAAAUGCGUAGAGAUCGGGAGGAACACCAGUGGCGAAGGCGGCUUGCUGGGCCGGACCUGACGCUGAGACGCGAAGGCGUGGGGAGCGAACGGG
rnacentral:rRNA from 1 species